UGCAGGAUUUGGCAGAAGGCCGGAGCCAUAUAAGUAAUGGUCAACUCAACACAUCUUGCUAUACACUAUUAAAAACAUGCUCAACAUGACACCUCUAAACACUGAACUUAUCUCCUGCCGUUUGAACAAAACGAUCUGCAGGGCCCUGGCUGGCUGCUCAGACUGACAGAGGUAACAAAACCAUCAUUUCCGUUAUUGCACCU
rnacentral:lncRNA from 1 species